ensembl:snRNA U6 U6 spliceosomal RNA
GUGCCGAUGUUGGCAGCACAUAUACUAAAAUUAGAAAAAUACAGAGAAGAUUGGCAUGGCCUCUGCACAAGGAUGACACAAAAAUUCCUAAAAUAUCUGUAUUUUUU